AACGCACAUUGCGCCCCCUGGUAUUCCGGGGGGCAUGCCUGUCCGAGCGUCAUUGCUGCCCAUCAAGCGCGGCUUGUGUGUUGGGCCGCCGUCCCCCUUCCCGGGGGACGGGUCCGAAAGGCAGCGGCGGCACCGCGUCCGGUCCUCGAGCGUAUGGGGCUCUGUCACCCGCUCUGCAGGCCCGACCGGCGCCCGCCGACCCCUCAACCUUCUUCUAACCAGGUUGACCUCGGAUCAGGUAGGGAUACCCGCUGAACUUAA
rnacentral:misc_RNA from 1 species